CCUACGGGAGACAGCAGUGAGGAAUAUUGGUCAAUGGGCGAGAGCCUGAACCAGCCAAGUCGCGUGAGGGAAUACUGCCCUAUGGGUUGUAAACCUCUUUUGUCGGGGAGCAAAGGCCGGACGUGUCCGGCUGGGAGGGUACCCUGAGAAAAAGCAUCGGGUAACUCCGUUCCAACAGCCGGCGUAAUACGGGGGGUGCGAGCGUUAAUCGGGAUUACUGGGCGUAAAGCGCUCGUAGGUGGUAUGUCAAGUCAAGGGUGAAAUCCCCGCGUUCAACGUGGGAACUGCCUUUGAAACUGGCAAACUGGAGUGUGUGAGAGGAUAGUGGAAUGCGAGGUGUAGGAGUGAAAUCCGUAGAUAUCUGGAGGAACAUCAGUGGCGAAGGCGACUAUCUGGCACAUAACUGACGCUGAGGAGCGAAAGCGUGGGUAGCAAACAGGAUUAGAUACCCCAGUAGUC
rnacentral:rRNA from 1 species